rnacentral:lncRNA from 1 species
GGUAGCUUCCUGUAGCAAUAGAAACUUCACCUUGCGACGUUGUCUGUUGUCCUUUCGAAUCUCACAUCUCGUAUCUGAUCCACUUGCACCUGGAGCUCUACCUCGCACUGAACUUUCAUUGGCUUCUGAAGGUCCAUCUCGCACUGAGCUCCUUGCCAAGAGGUAGUGUCCUCUAUUCUUUCUUCCCCUCAUGACAAUCAUACUACCGUGCAAGACCUUUAGGAUUCCUGUUGGG